rnacentral:rRNA from 1 species
CCUACGGGUGACAGCAGUGAGGAAUAUUGGUCAAUGGACGCAAGUCUGAACCAGCCAUGCUGCGUGCAGGAAGAAGGCUCUAUGAGUUGUAAACUGCUUUUGUACGAGGGUAAACGCAGAUACGCGUAUCUGACUGAAAGUAUCGUACGAAUAAGGAUCGGCGAACUCCGGGCCAGCAGCGGCGGUAAUACGGAGGAUUCAAGCGUUAUCCGGAUUUAUUGGGUUUAAAGGGUGCGUAGGCGGUCGGAUAAGUUAGAGGUGAAAUCCCGAGGCUCAACUUCGGAAUUGCCUCUGAUACUGUGCGGCUAGAGAGUAGUUGCGGUAGGCGGAAUGUAUGGUGUAGCGGUGAAAUGCUUAGAGAUCAUACAGAACACCGAUUGCGAAGGCAGCUUACCAGGCUACAUCUGACGUUGAGGCACGAAAGCGUGGGGAGCAAACAGGAUUAGAUACCCUUGUAGUC